CGUAGGGUGCGAGCGUUAAUCGGAAUUACUGGGCGUAAAGCGUGCGCAGGCGGUUUUGUAAGACAGGCGUGAAAUCCCCGGGCUCAACCUGGGAACUGCGCUUGUGACUGCAAGGCUAGAGUACGGCAGAGGGGGGCGGAAUUCCACGUGUAGCAGUGAAAUGCGUAGAGAUGUGGAGGAACACCAAUGGCGAAGGCAGCCCCCUGGGUCGAUACUGACGCUCAUGCACGAAAGCGUGGGUAGCAAACAGGAUUAGAUACCCUGGUAGUCCACGCCCUAAACGAUGUCAACUAGGUGUUGGGUGGGUAAAACCUUUUAGUACCGGAGCUAACGCGUGAAGUUGACCGCCUGGGGAGUACGGCCGCAAGGUUA
rnacentral:rRNA from 1 species